rnacentral:lncRNA from 1 species
CCGAGUGGCCCGCAUGCCUUCCGGCCCAGCCCGAGUGGCCCGCAUGCCUUCCGGCCCAGCCCGAGGGGCCCGCAUGCCUUCCGGCCCAGCCCGAGGGGCCCGCAUGCCUUCCGGCCCAGCCCGAGGGGCCCGCAUGCCUUCCGGCCCAGCCCGAGUGGCCCGCAUGCCUUCCGGCCCAGCCCGAGUGGCCCGCAUGCCUUCCGGCCCAGCCCGAGGGGCCCGCCUGCUCUCCGGCCCAGCCCGAGGGGCCCUCCUGUCCCCCGGCCCAGCCCGAGGGGCCCUCCUGUCCCCCGGCCCAGCCCGAGGGGCCCUCCUGUCCCCCGGCCCAGCCCGAGGGGCCCUCCUGUCCCCCGGCCCAGCCCGAGGGGCCCUCCUGUUCCCCGGCCCAGCCCGAGGGGCCCUCCUGUCCUCCGGCCCGGCUCGAGGGGUCCGUCUGCCUGGUGCAGCUAUCGGCUCCACCAAAGUGGGCGACGCCGAGGGUGGAGCAGGGUCCACGUCCUGCACCGGAGCCACCUCCAGGAUAGGUGGGUUGGGGAGGGAGGGUGUAGCACAGUGCCGUCGGUGACGGCAGCCACCCUCCCUUCCCUCCCUUAUUGUUUAGGGGUUAUUGUUUAUGGGUUUUGUUGGGGAUUUUGUUUGUUGGUGUUUUUUCGUUGUUAGGUGCAUUCUGGGGUCUGCACCUUGAGGGGGGGUCUUGUGUUCUGUGUUGGUCUUGUGACUCCUAAUCAGGAACAGCUGGGGAUCGUUGUUCCUGAUUGGGAGUCAUAUAUAUAUAGGAGUAUGUUUGUCACUUGGGUUUGUGGGUAGUUGUUUUUACACUGCGUGUAUAGCCUGUAAAACUGCUACUGUUGUCACCGUCAUUGUUUUUUCAAGUGGAUGCUUUACUCUUUUUUUGGUAAUAAAAUAACCAUGAGUAUUCACAUACCUGCUGCGCCUUGGUCCAUUCAUGAAGACAACCGUUACAAAUCUUUAAGGUAAAAGAUGUAAAACAAUUAUAUUUACAAUCCCAACUAAUUACUCACUUACCUAUUGUUUUUAUCAAUGGCCUCUUAUCACAUAUUGGAAGAAUACAGCGUAUCUGUAGACACGCCUCCACCACACCUUCAUCUCUGAUCUCUACCCCAAAAAAUGUUUAACAUUUUUUAUUUAUUUCACCUUUAUUUAACCAGGUAGGCAAGUUGAGAACAAGUUCUCAUUUACAAUUGCGACCUGGCCAAGAUAAAGCAAAGCAGUUCGACACAUACAACAACACAGAGUUACACAUGGAGUAAAACAAACAUACAGUCAAUAAUACAGUAGAAAAAUAAGUCUAUAUACAAUGUGAGCAAAUGAGGUGAGAUAAGGGAGGUAAAGGCAAAAAAGGCCACGGUGGCAAAGUAAAUACAAUAUAGCAAGUAAAACACUGGAAUGGUAGAUUUGUAGUGGAAGAAAGUGCAAAGUAGAAAUAUAAAUAAUGGGGUGCAAAGGAGCAAAAUAAAUAAAUAAAUAAAUACAGUAGGGGAAGAGGUAGUUGUUUGGGCAAAAUUAUAGAUGGGCUAUGUACAGGUGCAGUGAUCUGUGAGCUGCUCUGACAGCUGGUGCUUAAAGCUAGUGAGGGAGAUAAGUGUUUCCAGUUUGAGAUUUUUGUAGUUCAUUCCAGUCAUUGGCAGCAGAGAACUGGAAGGAGAGACGGCCAAAGGAGGAAUUGGCUUUGGGGGUGACCAGAUAGAUAUACCUGCUGGAGCGCGUGCUACAGGUGGGUGCUGCUAUGGUGACCAGUGAGUUGAGAUAAGGGGGGACUUUACCUAGCAGGGUCUUGUAGAUGACCUGGAGCCAGUGGGUUUGGCGACGAGUAUGAAGCGAGGGCCAGCCAACGAGAGCGUACAGGCCGCAGUGGUGGGUAGUUUUUGGGGCUUUGGUGACAAAACGGAUGGCACUGUGAUAGACUGCAUCCAGUUUAUUGAGUAGGGUAUUGGAGGCUAUUUUGUAAAUGACAUCGCCAAAGUCGAGGAUCGGUAGGAUGGUCAGUUUUACGAGGGUAUGUUUGGCAGCAUGAGUGAAGGAUGCUUUGUUGCAAAAUA